rnacentral:rRNA from 1 species
CAAUAGCGUAUAUUAAAGUUGUUGCGGUUAAAAAGCUCGUAGUUGGAUUUCUGUGGUAGGCAGCCGGUCCACACUAUGUGUGAGUAUCUGGUUCGACUACUGCAUCCUCCUGAGGAACGUUGGUGCGCUUCACUGCGUGGCACGGUAUUCAGGACUUUUACUUUGAGGAAAUUAGAGUGUUCACGGCAGGCGUUUGCCCUGAAUAUAUUAGCAUGGAAUAAUGAUAUGGGAUCCACGUCCUAUUUUGUUGGUUUCUAGGACGAGGAUAAUGAUUAAUAGGGAUAAUUGGGGGCAUUCGUAUUAGGAUGUCAGAGGUGGAAUUCUUGGAUUAUCCUACGACGAACUACUGCGAAAGCAUUUGCCAAGGAUGUUUUCAUUGA